CUUCACGCAGGUUUGUGCGGUCGAGCAACGGCAGUGCUGCUGCAGCCUCGCGCGCAGCCGGCAAACGGUCGUAGAAACCUGCGGCCAA
rnacentral:misc_RNA from 1 species